UACAGAGGGGGCAAGCGUUGUUCGGAAUUACUGGGCGUAAAGGGCGCGUAGGCGGCCCGCUAAGUCGAACGUGAAAUCCCCGAGCUCAACUCGGGAACUGCGUCCGAUACUGGUGGGCUUGAAUCCGGGAGAGGGAUGUGGAAUUCCAGGUGUAGCGGUGAAAUGCGUAGAUAUCUGGAGGAACACCGGUGGCGAAGGCGGCAUCCUGGACCGGUAUUGACGCUGAGGCGCGAAAGCCAGGGGAGCAAACGGG
rnacentral:rRNA from 1 species